AAACAUUUUCUUUGCACCCCCGGUCUGCCACAUCGACACUGCCUCUUCCUAGGUGUGCUCAUCAUCGGCAUCGGAGGCUGUCCCCCCAAAUGCUUUUCUUAAACGCAGGAACAGGGAGCGUUUCCGCUUCUGGGAGGAAAAGUACAGUCUCUGAGACCAAAUCCAUCAUGGUAAAUAUCAUAAAAGGAUGGAGAAGGAGUGGGAAGACUUACAAGGAAGAGUCUACGGGUGACACAAAGAGAGGAAAAUGAAAAGAUGUGAAAGAGGAAAUAGAUUACCCGCUUAAUUCUGCUUUCCUUGUCAGAAUUCUCGUUAUCUGCCAUGUAACAUUCUGUGUCCAGGGGCAGCCACCAGGUUGGGGAGGCCAUGGGAAAGGAAAGGGGUGAUUUAGAAUCAAGAUGGAACCUCAGGACCAUGAUGCUGCAGGGAGCUCAGUCUCGGGCCCCUUUCUGUCCUCACCUCCAUGGACCUCCCAGGGCCUCAGCUGGUUCACAUCUACAGUGGAGAAGGUCUCUGAUCCCCAAGAUCCUGCUGCAGCCCUCUGCUUCCCUCAAUGUGACUUGGAAUAAGACCUGUGUCUUCCUGCUCCACACACAGGCUGCAUCUGUCCCCAUGAACCUCGGAGCAUGCCCUGGCCUUCCUCCAGAACCCCUGCUUCCGACUCCCUCCUUCCUCAUUUCUCUCCUCUGAUUACUGCUCAUUUCCUUCCUCCAAUGAGGGCAGGGUGGAAGAAGGGCCAUGGCAAUGUUGCCACUCUCCAGGCAGUCAAUGUUUCUCUUAACCAAUCGAUGCCACCCAGGGAGUUCCUGGCAUGGGCCUGAUCCUGUGCUGGCACCUGGGGUGACCUGAGGUAUCUGGCAGAAGCUUAUUGCUCACAACACCACCCUGACUUUCCCAGCUCCUCAGAGAGGAUAAAAGCACAAUCAGAGGUGAAGGAAUGUAUCCAAAUUCCUUGCCCCAAAAUGAGCCAACAGGCAUCUACAUAAACAUAGGGUGCCUACCAGGAUUUGCCCUUAGACUUGGAAGGACAAGGAGGGAUGAGAGCUGGUCAGGCCUGAGGAGAGGACAUGGUGUGCACAUGACUGGGGUGUGGGGAGCAGGGCCAAGGCUGCCUGGAUGAGCGGUGGAUUCUCAGGGAACCAGGGGUCCCAGGCCCUGCUGCCCUGAGCCUCUGUCCUGGGCCUGGUCAAGCCCAGGAGACCAGGUGGAUGGGUCUGUGGGAGCAAGUGUGCAGAGAAGCCCAGCCUCCCCUUCACACAUUCCUCUAGACUUCCUUCUGGUGGGGAGGGUCCCCAGGCAGGUGGACAUGGAGCCCUCCCUCAAACAUGAUGUGUGCAUCAGCACAUCAGCCUUGGGUGAGCUGUCCAGGCUGAGAUGAGCUGAAGGAGGCUGGAGCACAUCCGUGAUCCCAGAGACGUGCUCUAUAAGCCAUCCUACCCUGGGAGUGCUUUUACGUGAGGAAGAAAGAGCAAUGGGAUCCUGAAAGUGCAGACAGAGUAUACUUCUCAUCCACCACCAGACACUUGCUCCAAGAACUUGGGUCUCCAGUGUCAAGCGACUCGCAGAGUUUUGUUGUGCCCUGUCAGCUUAUGGUUUUCAUAGGCAAAUUUAAAAACAAAGCCAAAAUCUGCUGUAAGGGAUCCCCUCCAGCUGGGAACCUGAAUCCAAGCUUUCACCCUUGGCAGUGUUGUUCCUACCUUCAUCUUCGUUAGUGAUGCUGCCAACGCUCUCCGCAAUAAAUUCUGCAGAAUCAUAAACAUGAGCAAUAAUGUUAUAAGGAAAGUUGCCCCACCCAUUUCUCCCCUUCCCCUUCAGCUAAUGCUGCCUUCCAAGGCAUCCCACUAGUCCUCUCUCCAGGUGCUCACAUCUCCCCUGGGCUCUGUGGAGCAACAGUCCUUCAGUAAGACAUCGAUCACAGUUUCAAACCUUCAAGAAAGAGAUGCUGAGAGAAGCAUCUGUCAACCUCUCACUUCCACAGGUCCAUUACAGCUCUCCCUUUCAAGCUGACCCACUAGAAACUCCAACACUUAUGGGCACACUUGAAAUAUGGCUAGUGUGAUCAAACCAUUGGGUGUUGUGUGUGUGUGAGCAUGCUUCUUUUUAAUUGCUUGAGUUAACCACAAUUUGAACUAAGUUAAAUAUAAGCAGGCACUUCUGGCUAGUGGGUACCACAGUGGACAGAGUGGCUCUAAGAGCUUGCAAGAUGAAGAAGAGACAACCAACCACCCUCACCUCACUGUUCAUUCAGAGAAUUUGGACGACCAGAGGGGAUCUUUCAUUUGCAGGUUAUCUUGGGCACUUGGACCCAUGCUAGGCAUUGUGAGAGUCCUUGGGGACACUCUAACAGCAGUGUCAACAACACUCUGACCUGGGAGGAAUUCCCAGCAGGGCACCCCACUUUUUGCCAGUAGUGAGGAGCAUGGCCCAGGGCACCGGUGCUGGACAAAACCAGAGAGAAUGGGCAGAGGGGAGGGAGGGAUGCAUCACUCUUUUCAUGAUCCCAUCCUUCUCACCCCUGAGCCUGGAAGACCCAAGGAAGGCAGUGGCACCCCCUUACGGGGUGAACAAUUUGUACACUGAAAACUACAGAUCAUGGCUGAAAGAAAUUAAAGAAGGUGCAAGUGCUUGGAACGACACACCAUGUUCAUAGACUGGACGGUUUAAUGUUGUCGACAUUUCUCUGCUACUGAAAAUGAUGUACACAUUAUACUGCAACAACUCAGAAAACCUCAUGCCAUUUUUUGAGACUUGGAAAAGAAAAUCCUAAAAUACAUGUAGAGCCCCAAAGAAUAAAAAGAUGAUCUUGACAGCAAAGAACAACAAUGGAGACGUCUCAAUUCCCAGAUUCAAAACACACUGCCAAGCCACAGCAGCAAAAACAUCUACCCCUGGCAUCUAAACAGGAAGACAGACCAAUGAUCCAUAAGAGAAGGACCUAAAAAUAAACUCAUAUAUGUAUGGCCAAAUGAUCACUGCCCAGGUUCUAAGAUUCCCCAGUCAAAAAAGUAUAGUCUCUUCAACAAUCAACAGAAUGAAAAGGCAAUGUAUAGGAUGGGAGGAAAUACUUGCAAAUAUUGCUUCUGGAUAAGGGACCCAUAUCCAAAAAAUAUAAGAAACUAACACUCAAUUAAAACAAAACAAAUACACAUGCACACACACAAACCAAAAAAAUGAAAAACAAAGACUGUGGGCAAAUAGCUGAGUUUAAAAAUGGGUAAACACCUUGAGAAGAUAUGACCCCAUAGAAGCUAUGAUGGUGAUCAAAUAUAUGUGAAAAUGUAUGUUGCGCUCAACUGGGACUCUGUGGUUAAGAGGUGCAAGCAACUGCUUUGGGAGUGGAUAAGCAAUGAGAUCCCACUGGAUAGCACAGGGCACGAUAUGUGGUCACUUAUGAAGGAAAAGACAAAAAGCACUAAAAAAAUUACAACUUUACUGGAAGGCUGAUUUCCAGGAAAAGCAUGCUAAUAAAUGGAUUCACAAAACACUGCUCUUAAAGAAAACCCAAUAUAGAAGAACUUACAAUACUGAAAUCCUACCAUUAAAAACAGCCACUAUCAUUCAUAUCAUGGUUGUUCUCCAGGCUUCAUUUUCUACACGGUGUGUGCAGCAUGUGCCCUGAUUAAAUGUACAGCCACACUAACAAGAGUCUUACAACAUGAGGGACUUAUUUCAUGGAGAGAAACACAGAGGGAACACAGAGUCCUUCUCACCCAGGUGGGCAGCAAGUUUGUACAGUGGUGCCGGACACCAGGAUGAGGGUGAACUCUGAGCUCUUACUUGCAAGAUCGCCUGGGUGUGUGCUACCUAGGGUGGUCAAGUGUGAGAAUGACAGUGACACUGUCCAAUACAAGAAUACGCCUCGCCGAUUCCCAUCUGCUUUGGCCAUGUUGAAGCGAUGAUGUCAGCACUGACAGGGACCUUAUAAGAUGCAUAGCAUCUACAGGACCUCUGGAGACCCUGGUAUUACCAGGCAUAGACAUGGAGCAGGGACCCUUCCCCGUCAGUGCUCCAUGACUGACAAAAUCCUGGCUGAGAGAGAGGUGCAGGUCAGGGGUCCAGGCACUCCCAUGGAUAACCUGGCCUGGGUCCCCAUUUAGAUUUUCCAUGUAGGAGGUCAAGAGCUUGGGCCAACUGUCUCUGCACCAUCUCCAGCUGAGCAAGGGGAAACUUAAGCCAAACUGGGAACAGUGGUGGUGAAGGGAGAAUGCAUGAAUGUAGAGAAGUUGUGCAGAAGGGAUGGAAAUUGUGUUGGGGAAAUUCAAUGGUUGUCAUGUCCAUGUAAAUAUGAAAUAUCUCAUGAGGAAAACACCACAUGUGCUCGCACAUGGACCUCACUCCCUGUCCCUCAUAACAUGUAAAACCCAAGGCAUCAACAUGAUAUACUUGUGUCCAGGGCAUGGACAUCUUGGGCAAAACUAUGAGUGGCGAAGAGCUGUAUGCUCUAAACCCCCAAGUCUCCUUCCAAAAGGAACCCAGGAUAUGGAGGCUCUGCAACCAAUGUCAGCAAGGAAGCCCCACAUUCUACUGCACCAAGAUUGUUUGUCACUGGAGAGAUGAUCUCUGAAUACACACCGCUUCUGUAAGGCCACUCGUACAACAUGAGCUGGAGAAAAGAAAACAGUGUGAGAAUCUAAGCUUCAUGGGCUCUAUGAACAAAGAAUAUUUCAUACUAUUUCUUUUCUCAGAAAGCUAAAUGAAGCUUUUCUUGAGUCCAUGGUCCCAAAGAAAACAGAGAUGUCAUUUGUGAGAAAUGCUUCAAAAUUUCCUGGAAGACCUAAGUCUAUUUUGACCGAACACUAAAAAAUUCUCUUUCAAGGAGGGUAAUACUCUGCAGAAAAAAUGCUCCCAACCACACAUGCAGUGUGCAACAGAUGCUGUUGUACUGAAAAUAGCUUUUACAGUCAAUCACUGGGAAAGGCAUUCAGUCAUCCAACCCAGGAAAAAAGUAUGUCUCCAUACUUUCAACUGUAUAGAUUUUCACAUUUGAAUUUGAUUGAAAACAAGGAGAAAAUGAAGCUAUGCUUUUAUCUCAAAUAAUAAAAGGCACUUACUGAGGGGUCAGAUGGAAUAUCUUCUGAGCUGCUGUACUCCUUCACCAAAAUAUGCCGAGGGUGAACUGGGAGAACAUAGAGUAUGAGUCAUGAUAUUGGUGACGCUGCUCAGGAACUAUUCAGGCAGCAUUGUUGGGGAGUGGUGUGUGAACCCAGGGAGGGAGAGUAAGGAUGAGGGUGAUUUUGAAGCAUGGGCACACAUGCUGUUGGCUGACCACUCUGGUGGGAUGAGGCUGGCCAAGGGGAGGUUCCUUGACAUAAUGAGAAGGGGAGCUUUAAGCUUCCUAGCCAAAGCCAACAUACUCAAUUCAAUGUAGGCAAUUUGAAAAGAGGUAAAUUCCAAAUUCAUGUUCUGGGGAACCUCCCGCUGUGGCUCCGUGCGUUAAGGACCCGAAGCUGUCUCUGUGAGGAGGCAGGGUCGCUCCCUAGCUUCCCUCAGGGGCCUAAGGAUCCAGGGUUGCUGCAUGCUGCGGCGUAGUGUGCACAUGUGGCCUGGAUCCGGUGGUGCCAUGGCUGGGGUACAGCUCUGGGUGAACCCCUCCCCUGGGAACUUCCAUAUGCCACAGGUGUGGCCACACACACAUAACAAAACAAAAACAAGUCAUGCCAUGUUUCAAGGACAGAGUCCAAUGACUCCUCCAGCCUAUUUUAAAUCCCGUGGCGACUCCCGCUACUUCUUGGAAUGUUCCAAGACCAUUUUUCAUCUCCACACGGUCACAUGCCCUGCUUCUGCUCAGCACAGUGUGAUGGCACAGGUAUAAUAUUUAUCCUUUGCAUAACUGUUAACUAUACAGUUCCGUAGCCUUUUUGACUUCCACACGCUUUUCUACCCAUCAACACUACCUACACCCACACCUUUGUCAUCCUACCCGACAUGACCCAUCACAACUCACCUUCCCCUGGCCACCAGGCCUUGGUAAUUCCUGCUUCUGCUAUAUGAACGUGCCUACACAAGUAGUAUUACACGGUAUCUGUCUUGCUGUGCACCUGCCUUAUUUCACUCACCACAAUAGCUUUUUGUAGUGUUCGGUCCACCCAUACCCUAACGUAUUUCGAGCUUUAACUCCACUCUGCGGCUAAAGAGUAGCUCACUCGGAGUUUCUUUGGCAUUUCAUUUUGCCAGUCCUCUCAUUCAUCACCACAUUCAUCAAGGCCUUUUGCAUAAUGCCCAUCUUGGGACUCCUGGGAGAAACAGGCCAGGGAGCAUUCGGGUACGGAUUUCUCUGUGCUAUAAUGGUGAGAAAUCACAUUGCACAUCUGUCAAAGGGCAGAGCUUAUAAGAGCACCAAGUAUGACUCCUAAGGCAAACUAUUAGUGUUCUGCUAAUUGGAAUAAAGGUACCACCAGCAUGUGAUACACUGUCAAUGGCUGGACCUGGAGCGGUGGGAUUCGGGAACCGUCUGUGUCAUCUGUUGGACUUCUUUGUCCACAUAAUCCAGGUCGAAACAAUGUCUAAUAAUUUAAAGACACCUGGAAACACGGCUUCCCUGAGGGAGACACAGCAGCUAAUGUCCAAAAGCCAGCCGUCAUCGACACCCUGGCUAGAGAUCAUCUUCACCCUCCAACAUCAACCGGCUGUUGAGAUUUCAAAGUCGUUUUAUUUCCACAGGUAUAUAAACACUACCACCUGACUAAGUAUGUUUCAACUUGGACACACACGCACGCACGCACGCACGCACGCACAAAGGAUACCACAAAAUACUUCCGAGUUCAUUCGUAUACAGGGGACCCUAAAGAAAAAUUAUUCUUGCAUGCACCGAAGGAGAAAAUCUCCACGUACCUGUCCCCGACCCAUUAGCCCGUUGCAUUCGCUGGUGGAGCCAGGAGCAUAAUUUUCUGAUGCAGCCAGAGGUGGAUCUUUGUGACAUCUGUCGAUUGUUCCUUUGGAUCCGGAAGCAGCAUCCUAUGCAAUCUAUCACAACAGGGAGGACUGCUGACAUCUUGCUGUCAGAAGACCGUAGGGAAAUUUGUACUCAUUUAUUCCAUUUAAUCUUUUGGUCCCCUGGCUCACCAGCUGCCCAGGAGUGCUGCCUGGAUCAAGGUCAGACUUAGAAGGAUCAUGCAGUUUAAAACAACCAACAGACAGGAUUUUUGAACAACCACCUUUGUUUAACUGAGACCUUCUAGAAACACAGCAAAGUAAGAGUGAUCGUGCCUGAUGGUCUGGUUCAAACACAUUCAGAAGAAUCAUGAACCUGGGGAAAGGGUUGUAGAUCCCUAAGGGCCUCGAUGCCCUGUUCUACGAGGUGGAAAUGGUAUUCUAGAAGGCUGACUUUUAGUAUGAUGUUAUGAGGACGACUUCAUGAAGUACGGGUAACAUUUUAGAAAAAGGAAGGACGGGUGCCUCGUCAAUGCUCCGUAUGCGUUCAGCCUUGAGUGAUGGCAAGAGUAAGCUAGACAGUCAGUGGUGGCUGAAAACCAAAGGGGGUAAAUGGAUGCCUCAAGUCGGGAAGGGUGGAAGCUUAUUCCCCAGCAUCUUCAUGGGAACGAUGCUUCGCAGCUCAUGGACAGUACCUAUUUUCAUCUCCUCUGAUACUCAGUCCUGUUGAAGGUGAGGAAGUGCAAACAGGACCCACAUGAGGGGUAACCAAGUGACAGUCCAAGCGUCACAACAAUGACGGGUGAUGAAUCUGAGGCAGGUGGACCAGACAUAUUAAUUAAGACAACGAACCCGGAAGUUAUACGCAUAACUCUAGAGAUAGCUCAGAGGGGUAGAAAUGAGAAGAAAAACACAAGAAGGAAAAAUGCAGGAGACAAAGUGAGCGAGCCCAUCUGAAGGAACAGCCACUCGGGGGAGCAAUGUAAACUUACCUUAGGAACAGUGAUUGAGAUUGCCCAUUCCUAAAGCAUGAGCCGUGAAGUGAGAGCGUCACACUGGCCACCACGUACAAACCUCUCAGGCCACAGA
rnacentral:lncRNA from 9 species